UAACGACAAUACUAAACCAUCCGCGAGGGUGGGACGGAAAGCCUACUGGGUCUCAUAGAGACAGCCGGGUCGCCGAA
rnacentral:ncRNA from 1 species